rnacentral:rRNA from 1 species
UACGUAGGUGGCAAGCGUUGUCCGGAAUCACUGGGCGUAACGCGCGCGCAGGCGGCGAUCUACGUCUGGGGUGAAAGCCCGGAGCUCAACUCCGGGACUGCCUUGGAUACGGGAUCGCUUGAGGAUUGGAGAGGCAAGGGGAAUUCCACGUGUAGCGGUGAAAUGCGUAGAUAUGUGGAGGAACACCGGUGGCGAAGGCGGCCUUCUGGACGGAUACUGACGCUGAUACGCGAAAGCGUGGGGAGCAAACGGG